rnacentral:rRNA from 1 species
GACGAACGCUGGCGGCGUGCUUAACACAUGCAAGUCGAACGAUGAAGCCCAGCUUGCUGGGUGGAUUAGUGGCGAACGGGUGAGUAACACGUGGGCAACCUGCCCCAAACUCUGGGAUAACUCCUCGAAAGAGGUGCUAAUACCGGAUACGAACUAGACAGACAUCUGUACUAGUUGGAAAGUUUUUCGGUUUGGGAUGGGCCCGCGGCCUAUCAGCUUGUUGGUGAGGUAACAGCUCACCAAGGCUACGACGGGUAACCGGCCUGAGAGGGCGACCGGUCACACUGGGACUGAGACACGGCCCAGACUCCUACUGGAGGCAGCAGUGGGGAAUAGUGCGCAAUGGGCGAAAGCCUGACGCAGCGACGCCGCGUGAGGGAUGAAGGUCUUCGGAUCGUAAACCUCUUUCAGUAGGGACGAAGCGAAAGUGACGGUACCUAAAGAAGAAGCACCGGCUAACUACGUGCCAGCCGCCGCGGUAA